UUACUCAAGAACAGCCACAAGUCGCCAC
rnacentral:sRNA from 1 species